rnacentral:rRNA from 1 species
UCCGAGUGCCCCAAGCGUUAUCCGGAAUCAUUGGGCGUAAAGGGUGUGUAGGCGGCGCGAUUAGUCUUCUGUCAAAAUUCGGGGCUCAACCCUGGACUCGCAGAGGAAACGGUCGUGCUCGAGGGUGCGAGAGGUGAAUGGAACUCAUGGAGUAGGGGUGAAAUCCGUUGAUAUCAUGGGGAACACCAAAAGCGAAGGCAAUUCACUGGCGCAUUUCUGACGCUGAAACACGAAAGCGUGGGGAGCGAACAGG